rnacentral:tRNA from 1 species
GCGGUAGUAGCUCAGCUGGUAGAGCAUUGUCUUCCCAAGCCGAGGGUCGCGGGUUCGAGUCCCGUCUACCGCUCCA